rnacentral:misc_RNA from 1 species
AUUAUGGCCUUCGCUGGAGAUCAGGCCCAGAACAUCCAUUAUACACCCGAUUCUAAUUCUACCUUUCAAACUUGUAAUUUGAACUUCACUGCCAAAGCUGAGAGAACCCGGAUUGCAUUCUACAGUGUGUACUACAAUACCAGAACUGACGAUAUGAGCUCCCUGUGUGGACCGGUGGUGGAUGAUGUUCGAGUAUGGUUUUCGGGUGCUAGGAGAAUUGGGUUUGCUGGAGUUGGUCUUGUAUUUUGGGUGUUUGUUUUGGUUUUGGUGUUGGGUUAAAAGCUGGUUUGGUAGGAUAUUAACAAUGAAAAAAUGUGUUUUACUUAUGAUGUUGUCCUUAUAUAUAUAGUAAUAGGUGUUGGAAUCAUGGGAGUUCUGGUAAGUUGAAAUUCCCACCAAAGUCUCUGUCAU